UACGUAGGGGGCAAGCGUUAUCCGGAUUUACUGGGUGUAAAGGGAGCGUAGACGGCAUUGCAAGUCUGAUGUGAAAGAUUGGGGCUCAACCCCAGGCCUGCAUUGGAAACUGUAAAGCUGGAGUACAGGAGAGGUAAGCGGAAUUCCUAGUGUAGCGGUGAAAUGCGUAGAUAUAUGGAGGAACACCGGUGGCGAAAGCGGCUCUCUGGCCUGUAACUGACACUGAGGCUCGAAAGCGUGGGGAGCAAACAGG
rnacentral:rRNA from 1 species